rnacentral:tRNA from 1 species
AAUGAAGUGCCUGAUAAAAGGGCUAUUUUGAUAGAGUAGAGCAUGCAUUAAUUGCCUUCAUUA